UUUCUCUAAAUUUUUUCAUAAAACCCUAACCAGUGGGGCUCUCUCCCUAAAAGCCCUAAUUGGCCGCAUCACAUUUAUAAGCAGCGUUACAGAUUUACAGCCAUGGCGGAGCUCCUCGUCUCCUUCCUUACCUGGUUGGACCACUACAUUUUGAGGUUCUCCUCUGUGUGGAUUCAAUAUCUAGAGGAUUCAAUCACUUAGACAAUGAUGAAUCCUCUUGACACUAAAUUCAACUCAGAGGUUAACCUUGGAGUCUUAGCAACUUGCGCUUUGAAUCUCCGUUCCAAUAAUGGCUUCCAGUAGAGCAAACUGGUUGUUGCCUUAAUCUAAUGAUUUGCCAACCAGAGGAGAUUAUUAUUAGGCCUAGCUUUGUCAGGAAGUUGCAUCUGAGGCAUGGAUAUGAUAUCUAAAAAUGGAAGAAGAUUCCUGUAUGGGCUACUAUGUCAACUCACCUCGAGAAUGUUGAACAAGACUACCAUUAUGUUGUACAACAUCAACAACAUAUCUAGUGUGAUCCGACAAAGUGACAUCAUUCAGGACAUUUCUAGUUUCUGUUUGAUUAUUUUUGGUUGUAACUAGUCUAGCUUAUAAACAUUUGACACAAUGGACAUAGCAAAGAGAAAACAGAACAUCUGUAACUUCUCAUAUCCUCUUCAAAUUGCUGGAAUUAAUGGUUCUUAAAAAAGG